GACGUAGGGUGCAAGCGUUGUCCGGAUUUACUGGGCGUAAAGAGCGCGUAGGCGGCUCGUUAAGUGUGAAGUGAAAUCUCUAGGGCUCAACCCAGAAACUGCUUUACAUACUGGCGAGCUGGAGUGAUGCAGAGGUUUGUGGAAUUCCUGGUGUAGCGGUGAAAUGCGUUGAUAUCAGGAGGAACACCGGUGGUGUAAACGGCUUUCUGGACCAUAACUGACGCUGAGGCACGAAAGCGUGGGUAGCAAACAGG
rnacentral:rRNA from 1 species